AGUGAACGCUGGCGGUAGGCCUAACACAUGCAAGUCGAACGGCAGCACAGUAAGAGCUUGCUCUUACGGGUGGCGAGUGGCGGACGGGCGAGGAAUACAUCGGAAUCUACUUUUUCGUGGGGGAUAACGUAGGGAAACUUACGCUAAUACCGCAUACGACCUACGGGUGAAAGCAGGGGAUCUUCGGACCUUGCGCGAUUGAAUGAGCCGAUGUCGGAUUAGCUAGUUGGUGGGGUAAAGGCCCACCAAGGCGACGAUCCGUAGCUGGUCUGAGAGGAUGAUCAGCCACACUGGAACUGAGACACGGUCCAGACUCCUACGGGAGGCAGCAGUGGGGAAUAUUGGACAAUGGGCGCAAGCCUGAUCCAGCCAUACCGCGUGGGUGAAGAAGGCCUUCGGGUUGUAAAGCCCUUUUGUUGGGAAAGAAAAGCAGCAGGUUAAUACCCCGCUGUUCUGACGGUACCCAAAGAAUAAGCACCGGCUAACUUCGUG
rnacentral:rRNA from 1 species